rnacentral:rRNA from 1 species
ACGGAAGGCAGCAGUGAGGAAUAUUGGACAAUGGGGGCACCCUGAUCCAGCCAAACCGCGUGAGGGAUGAAGGUCCUACGGAUCGUAAACCUCUUUUAUGUGGGAAUAAUUGCUGGUAUGCAUACCAGCUUGAAGGUACCGCUUGGAUAAGCAUCGGCUAACUCCGUGCCAGCAGCCGCGGUAAUACGGAGGAUGCAGGCGUUAUCCGGAUUUAUUAGGUUUAAAGGGUGCGCAGGCGGGACAUUAUGUCGGUUGUGAAAUACCGUGGCCCAACCACGGGGCUGCCAUCGAUACUGAUGACCUUGAGUGCGUGUGACGUAGGCGGAAUGUGACGUGUAGCGGUGAAAUGCUUAGAUAUGUCACAGAACACCGAUUGCGAAGGCAGCCUACGAACACGUAACUGACGCUCAUGCACGAAAGCGCGGGUAGCGAACAGGAUUAGAUACCCUGGUA